GACGAACGCUGGCGGCGUGCUUAACACAUGCAAGUCGAACGAGUGGCGGACGGGUGAGUAAUGCUUGGGAAUCUAGCUUAUGGAGGGGGAUAACUACGGGAAACUGUAGCUAAUACCGCGUAUCAUAGGAUGAGCCCAUGUGGGAUUAGGUAGUUGGCGAGGUAAAGGCGCACCAAGCCGACGAUCCCUAGCUGGUCUGAGAGGAUGACCAGCCACACUGGGACUGAGACACGGCCCAGACUCCUACGGGAGGCAGCAGUGGGUAAUAUUGUGCAAUGGGGGCAACCUGACGCAGCCAUGCCGCGUGAAUGAAGAAGGCCUUCGGGUUGUAAAGUUCUUUCGGUAGCGAGGCGUUAACUACAGAAGAAGCACCGGCUAACUCCGUGCCAGCAGCCGCGGUAAUAC
rnacentral:rRNA from 1 species